GGAGAUGCAGCUUAGUGGUGGAGCACCUGCUUUGCACGCAGAAGGCCCCAGGUUCAAUCCCUGGCAUCUCCA